CAGGCCAUAGUUUAGUUGGCUAAAACGCACGGCUGGGGGCCGUGAGAGCGGCGGUUCAAGUCCGCCUGGCCUGA
rnacentral:tRNA from 1 species